rnacentral:rRNA from 1 species
UACGGGGGGGAGCAAGCGUUGUUCGGAUUUACUGGGCGUAAAGGGCGCGUAGGCGGCGUGACAAGUCACUUGUGAAAUCUCCGGGCUUAACUCAGAACGGUCAAGUGAUACUGUCGUGCUAGAGUACAGAAGGGGCAACUGGAAUUCUCGGUGUAGCGGUGAAAUGCGUAGAUAUCGAGAGGAACACCUGCGGCGAAGGCGGGUUGCUGGGCUGAUACUGACGCUGAGGCGCGAAAGCUAGGGGGAGCGAACGGG